CUCCUACGGGAGGCAGCAGUGGGGAAUAUUGCACAAUGGGGGAAACCCUGAUGCAGCCAUGCCGCGUGUGUGAAGAAGGCCUUCGGGUUGUAAAGCACUUUCAGCGAGGAGGAAAGGUUGAUGCCUAAUACGUAUCAGCUGUGACGUUACUCGCAGA
rnacentral:rRNA from 1 species